CCUGGCUCAGGAUGAACGCUGGCGGCGUGCUAACACAUGCAAGUCGAACGGGGCGACCAUUUUUGUAAGCGAUUAGCUUGCUAAGAGUGGAAAUGUUGGCGGCUUAGUGGCGGACGGGUGAGUAACGCGUGGGUAACCUGCCAUAUACAGGGGGAUAACACUUAGAAAUAGGUGCUAAUACCGCAUAAGCGCACGGAGCUGCAUGGCUCAGUGUGAAAAACUCCGGUGGUAUAUGAUGGACCCGCGUCUGAUUAGCUUGUUGGCGGGGUAACGGCCCACCAAGGCGACGAUCAGUAGCCGGCCUGAGAGGGUGGACGGCCACAUUGGGACUGAGACACGGCCCAAACUCCUACAGGAGGCAGCAGUGGGGAAUAUUGGACAAUGGGGGGAACCCUGAUCCAGCGACGCCGCGUGAGUGAAGAAGUAUCUCGGUAUGUAAAGCUCUAUCAGCAGGGAAGAAAGAAAUGACGGUACCUGACCAAGAAGCCCCGGCUAACUACGUG
rnacentral:rRNA from 1 species